AAACUAGGAUUAGAUACCCUUUUAUUAUUUUUUAAGGUAUUAUUAGAUUGUCUUUAAACCUAAGAAUUCUGGCGGUUCUUUUUCUUUUCAGAGGGGUUUGUUUUUUAAUCGAUAGUCCUCGAUUAUUUUUUCUUUUAUUAUUAGUUUGUAUACCUCCGUUUGAAGAUGAAUAUUAGUUUUUCUUUCUUUUUAAUUUGUUAUUCAAUUCAGGUCAAGGUUUAAUUUAUAUGGGAGAAUAAAUUAGCCAUGUAUUUUUGUUCUUUUUUUGAUGGGAUUUUUAGGAUUUGUUGGUAAGGGUAAAGUAAAUUUUUACUUUGAAUCAGUUAAAUGGGAUGUACAUAUCGCCCGUCGCUCUUUAGAAGAUAAGUCGUAACAUAGUA
rnacentral:rRNA from 1 species